rnacentral:rRNA from 1 species
AGGACGAACGCUGGCGGCGUGCUUAACACAUGCAAGUCGAGCGGUAAGGCCUUUCGGGGUACACGAGCGGCGAACGGGUGAGUAACACGUGGGUGAUCUGCCCUGCACUCUGGGAUAAGCCUGGGAAACUGGGUCUAAUACCGGAUAUGACCUGCUCUCGCAUGGGGGGUGGUGGAAAGAUUUUAUCGGUGCAGGAUGGGCCCGCGGCCUAUCAGCUUGUUGGUGGGGUAACNCGUACC